rnacentral:lncRNA from 1 species
AGAAGAGCCAAUAUUUCAGUUUGAGUCUGAAGGCAGGAAAAGACUGAUGUCCCAUCUCAAAGCAGUCAGGCAGAGGGAGUUCCCUCUUGUUCUCACUCAAGGAAGGAUGGCGCAGUGCUCCCGCUGUUCCGAGGCUCAGCUACCCUGAGGGAGGCAGGGAAUUUUGAUCAGCUUCUGAAGAAUCACCUCAUCUCUCCCCGCAGAGAGCACAGAGCACAGGACUUCACGUUAUGUCAACAUCUCUUGCAAAAGCCCAGCUCCUAGAGAGCAGGAGCCUUCCCAGACUGUGUCAAAUUACCUCGGGGAUGGAGAGACUUACAUGGCAUUAAUAGAAAUCAAAUGGCAGAGCUCGGGUUUCUGGUAAGAGCGGGUCCUGGCUCCUUCCUUACAUGAAGACCUGUCCAACACUGCUUGCUAUCUCCUCCUGUGCCAUCUGAAAUCUGUGCCUCAAACCGACCAGCAGCCUUCUAAAUCUCUUUAUUCUAAAUUUGGCGCAAACUUCUUUCAUCUGUGACUUUUGGAGUCUUCUGCUGCAUCACCCCAUGAUCCAACUUGGAGUUGGGCUCUGUUUCAUUGACUUACCAGCUCUCAUCAUAAAGAACCUUUUUUAGCCCCCAAAGAGUCUGAACAACAGACCUCCUCCACAUGGAAAUGGUGAAUUGAUCACACUGAAAACUAUUUUGAAGUCAAGCAAGGCCAGCUUAUGUCACUCUCCUGCAGCAGAGAAUGACUUUCACUUGCUCACUUUCACACUUGCAACCUUCCAUUUUCCACAAACUGUCACUGUGGUCUGUUAGAAAUAUAAAUUAUGUCAUUUCACUCUUCUCCCUAAAACUCUUCAUAGAUUGCACAUUCUUUAUUCCUAACAUCUUUUAUACACUCAUUUCAGAGUACUAAUGGCAUUUGUAACACUAUUACUUGCUUAUUUAUUUUAUAACUUCUCACCUAGAGUGUAGGCUCUAAGAGUGGGAACUUUGUUGCUCUUGUUCUCCAAAGUAUCCCUUUGAGCUAAUGCAAAGUUAAAUAUAGGAGACACUCAAUAAAUAAUUAUGGAACCACACUGUUCUUUCAGCUGCCUGCCACUUUUCAUGACUUAGAGCCCCUAAAGUCCAUAUCCAAAGAAAAUUACAAAGUGACGAUAAUGAAAAAC